GGGUGUAAAGUGUGCGCAGGCGGUUUCGUAAGCUGGAGGUGAAAUCCCCGGGCUUAACCUGGGAAUGGCCUUCAGGACUGCGAGGCUAGAGUGCGGCAGAGGGAGGUGGAAUUCCACGUGUAGCAGUGAAAUGCGUAGAGAUGUGGAGGAACACCGAUGGCGAAGGCAGCCUCCUGGGCCAGCACUGACGCUCAUGCACGAAAGCGUGGGGAGCAAACAGGAUUAGAUACCCUGGUAGUCCACGCCCUAAACGAUGUCAACUAGGUGUUGGGGAAGGUGACUUCCUUAGUACCGCAGCUAACGCGUGAAGUUGACCGCCUGGGGAGUACGGCCGCAAGGUUAAAACU
rnacentral:rRNA from 1 species